GCCUAUGGCCAUACUGUCCUGUGAGCGGCCCAUCUUGGACGUUAAGCAGGGCCAGGCCUGGUUAGUAUUUCUGUGAUGGACUGGUGACCUGUCCAGGGUGUACCCCUGCCUUUCACCCAAAGAGAGCUGGGAUAGGCU
rnacentral:rRNA from 12 species